GUAAGAAUGAAAGGUUUCAAUGGAGUCCUGACUUGUCGAGAAGGACCGUGUGGUGGUGCUGAAGACUGUUUCAUUGUAUCUCUGCUCUUCAAGAUGACCAUUUCCUGGUCGAUGCUCUCUAUUUCCUCAAAGCUGAUGGUGAUCCAUUUCUGGGCCUGCAGUAGGUACAGCUCCCGUACUUGCUCCUCAUCUGCCUGCCCACUCUCCACAAAGGUUCUCAAAGAGGCCAACUUGUUCUCCAGUUCCUUCUUCUGCUUAUAUCUCUCGAUCUUGGCCUGCCGGCUGGAGGCCAUGGCCAGCAGGCUGCGCUGGGCGGCGCUCCCGGCCUCGCCGUCCUCCCGGGGGGCGGCGGGGGGCGGCCGGGCGCCGCUCAGCCCGUACGAACGGCACAGCUCCAGGAAGCGGCAGAAGUGCCGCCGGGCGCUCUCCAGGUGCUCCCGCCGCCGGCUCGGCUCCACCUGCCGCAGCGUCAGCGCGCCCAGCAGCGCGGGCACCAGCAGGUACUUCAGGUCGGCCGAGGCGAGCUCCUCCAGCUCCUCGUUCUCACUGAACAGCUCCAGCUCCUCCACCAUGGCGGCCGCCCGCUGCAGCGCGCCCAGCCCCUGCCGCACCUUGGCCUGCACGGACGGGGCCCCGGAGGACGGCUCGGUGCUGGCCUCCACCUCCUCCAGCAGCCGCCAGCCCGUCUCCAGCAGCUCCGGCAACCGCGGGCCUUCGCCCGACGCCUCCGCCAUGC
rnacentral:lncRNA from 1 species